rnacentral:rRNA from 1 species
GAUAAGGCAUCUUAUUAAUAUUAAAGCUUCGGCACUUGAUGAUGGGUGUGCGGCUGAUUAGAUAGUUGGCGGGGUAACGGCCCACCAAGUCUACGAUCAGUAGCUGAUGUGAGAGCAUGAUCAGCCACACGGGCACUGAGACACGGGCCCGACUCCUACGGGAGGCAGCAGUAAGGAAUAUUGGACAAUGGACGAAAGUCUGAUCCAGCCAUGCCGCGUGAAGGAUUAAGGUCCUCUGGAUUGUAAACUUCUUUUAUAUGGGACGAAAAAAGGGCAUUCUUGUUCACUUGACGGUACCAUAUGAAUAAGCACCGGCUAACUCCGUG